CAAUAGCGAUUGUUAAGUCACCUUAAAUUCUUUUGAAACAAGAUAAAUGAGAAAUCAACCAACUAGCAAUUCAAGAAACAAGUGAAACAUAAAUAAGAAAGGACUUGCCCCAGCUACUGGAACUGCUGUCAGCAUUGGUCUCCAGUCGUCAACUUCUUCAGGGAAUGCCUCAGGACAGCCCAUAUCAAAUGACUGACUGCAGCGGAAGUGGGGGCAGGUACUGUGUUAAGGCACUGGUGAUAUGGAUACAUAAACACACAGUUUCAAAAGGCAGCAAUAAGAAACAGAUAAUUUCAAUAUGUAGUUUUCAUUUGGACUGUCCAGAGAGAAGAGAGAAUGGCAUCCAACCCAAUGAUAAGUGGAGAUGAAUGGAAAAGAUGUCCUGAGAAGGACUGAACUGAAGUUAAGGCAAAGGUCUGAGAGAGGACACUACAUGGAGAGGAAACAGCAUGAACAAACAGUCAUAAAACAAUGUGUGAAAACAAGUACUUCAGUAAUCCAAGAGCACUGUUAAACUGUGGGAAAAAAGAGGGGAAGAGAGAAUGUACUUCAAGAUCAUGCAAAAUAAACGUACAAACAUAA